rnacentral:rRNA from 1 species
AACGAACGCUGGCGGCAUGCCUAACACAUGCAAGUCGAACGAGACCUUCGGGUCUAGUGGCGCACGGGUGCGUAACGCGUGGGAACCUGCCCUUAGGUUCGGAAUAACUCCCCGAAAGGGGUACUAAUACCGGAUAAUGUCUUCGGACCAAAGAUUUAUCGCCUUUGGAUGGGCCCGCGUUGGAUUAGCUAGUUGGUAGGGUAAAAGCCUACCAAGGCGACGAUCCAUAGCUGGUCUGAGAGGAUGAUCAGCCACACUGGGACUGAGACACGGCCCAGACUCCUACGGGAGGCAGCAGUGGGGAAUAUUGGGCAAUGGGCGAAAGCCUGAUCCAGCAAUGCCGCGUGAGUGAUGAAGGCCUUAGGGUUGUAAAGCUCUUUUACCCGGGAUGAUAAUGACAGUACCGGGAGAAUAAGCUCCGGCUAACUCCGUG